rnacentral:rRNA from 1 species
AUUGAACGCUGGCGGCAGGCCUAACACAUGCAAGUCGAGCGGAUGAAGGGAGCUUGCUCCUGGAUUCAGCGGCGGACGGGUGAGUAAUGCCUAGGAAUCUGCCUGGUAUUGGGGGAUAACGUCCGUAAACGGGCGCUAAUACCGCAUACGUCCUGAUGGAGAAAGUGGGGGAUCUUCGGACCUCACGCUAUCAGAUGAGCCUAGGUCGGAUUAGCUAGUUGGUGGGGUAAAGGCCUACCAAGGCGACGAUCCGUAACUGGUCUGAGAGGAUGAUCAGUCACACUGGAACUGAGACACGGUCCAGACUCCUACGGGAGGCAGCAGUGGGGAAUAUUGGACAAUGGGCGAAAGCCUGAUCCAGCCAUGCCGCGUGUGUGAAGAAGGUCUUCGGAUUGUAAAGCACUUUAAGUUGGGAGGAAGGGCAGUAAGUUAAUACCUUGCUGUUUUGACGUUACCAACAGAAUAAGCACCGGCUAACUUCGUG